rnacentral:rRNA from 1 species
UACGUAGGGCGCGAGCGUUAUCCGGAAUUAUUGGGCGUAAAGGGCGCGUAGGCGGGAUGGCAAGUCGGUCGUGAAAUCCCUCGGCUCAACCGAGGAACGUCGAUCGAUACUGCUGUUCUUGAGGAUUGCAGAGGAGACUGGAAUUCCCGGUGUAGCGGUGAAAUGUGUAGAGAUCGGGAGGAACACCUGUGGCGAAGGCGGCCACCUGGGCCGACCCUGACGCUGAGGCGCGAAGGCGUGGGGAGCGAACGGG